UACUAGAUUUUAACCGCGGUAC
rnacentral:siRNA from 1 species